CAGUCGGAUCUGUCUGGGAGAAUCCAGCGACAUCCACCACCAUGGUGAACUUCACUGUAGACCAGAUCCGGGCCAUCAUGGACAAGAAGGCCAACAUCCGCAACAUGUCUGUCAUCGCCCACGUGGACCACGGCAAGUCCACGCUGACGGACUCCUUGGUGUGCAAAGCCGGCAUCAUCGCAUCCGCUCGUGCUGGUGAGACCCGCUUCACUGACACCCGGAAGGAUGAGCAGGAGCGCUGUAUCACCAUCAAGUCAACCGCUAUCUCCCUCUUCUAUGAGCUUUCUGAGAAUGACUUGAACUUUAUCAAGCAGAGCAAGAAUGGCUCUGGCUUCCUUAUCAACCUCAUUGACUCUCCUGGGCAUGAGGACUUCUCCUCAGAAGUGACGGCUGCCCUGCGUGUCACUGAUGGCGCCUUGGUGGUGGUGGACUGUGUGUCAGGUGUGUGCGUGCAGACAGAGACAGUGCUGCGGCAGGCUAUCGCCGAGCGCAUCAAGCCCGUGCUCAUGAUGAACAAGAUGGACUGGGCCCUGCUGGAGUUGCAGUUGGAACCCGAGGAGCUGUACCAGACCUUCCAGCGCAUAGUGGAGAACGUCAACGUCAUCAUCUCCACCUACGGCGAGGGCGAGAGCGGUCCCAUGGGCAACAUCAUGAUUGACCCUGUCCUUGGUACUGUGGGCUUGGGGUCUGGCCUGCAUGGCUGGGCCUUCACCCUAAAGCAGUUUGCAGAGAUGUACGUGGCCAAGUUCGCUGCCAAGGGGGAGGGCCAGUUGGGGCCUGCUGAGCAGGCCAAGAAGGUGGAAGACAUGAUGAAGAAGCUGUGGGGUGACCGGUACUUCGAUCCAGCCAACGGCAAGUUUAGCAAGUCAGCCACCAGCCCUGAUGGAAAGAAGCUGCCCCGUACUUUCUGCCAGCUCAUCCUGGACCCCAUCUUCAAGGUGUUUGAUGCAAUCAUGAACUUCAAGAAAGAGGAGACAGCAAAGUUGAUUGAGAAGCUGGACAUUAAGCUGGACAGUGAGGACAAAGACAAAGAGGGAAAGCCGCUGCUCAAGGCUGUGAUGCGCCGCUGGCUGCCAGCUGGGGACGCGCUGCUGCAGAUGAUCACCAUCCACUUGCCGUCGCCCGUUACAGCACAGAAGUACCGCUGCGAGCUGCUAUAUGAGGGGCCCCCAGAUGAUGAGGCCGCCAUGGGCAUUAAAAGCUGUGAUCCUAAAGGCCCACUAAUGAUGUACAUUUCCAAAAUGGUGCCAACCUCCAAUAAAGGUCAGUUCUAUGCCUUUGGACGCGUCUUCUCAGGACUGGUGUCCACUGGCCUGAAAGUCCGGAUUAUGGGCCCUAACUACACCCCUGGGAAGAAGGAGGACCUUUACCUGAAGCCCAUCCAGAGGACCAUCCUGAUG